rnacentral:sRNA from 1 species
UAUCGGAAGAGACUUGCCCCGUCCGACAC